rnacentral:rRNA from 1 species
CGCACGGGUGCGUAACGCGUAUGCAAUCUACCUUGUACAGGGGAAUAGCCCAGGGAAACUUGGAUUAAUGCCCCAUAGUAUUAUGAAAUAGCAUUAUUUUAUAAUUAAAGAUUUAUCGGUACGAGAUGAGCAUGCGUCCCAUUAGCUAGUUGGUAUGGUAACGGCAUACCAAGGCUACGAUGGGUAGGGGCCCUGAGAGGGGGAUCCCCCACACUGGUACUGAGACACGGACCAG